AGUGAACGCUGGCGGCAUGCCUAACACAUGCAAGUCGAACGGCAGCACGGUAGCUGGUUCCUGUUAGGGGUGGGCAGUCGCGGGAGGAAGAGAUCGAAACCGGUACCUACGUUGUGGAGAGGGCUGCGAAAGGCGGAUUAAUACUGCAUACGAUCAACGCAUAAGAGCGAAAGACGGGCGUCUUCGGCCCUUGCGCGUUGGCAGAUGCCUGAUUAGCUAGUUGGCGGGGUAAAGGCCUACCAAGGCGACGAUCAGUAGCUGGUCUGAGAGGACGACCAGCCACACUGGAACUGAGACACGGUCCAGACUCCUACGGGAGGCAGCAGUGGGGAAUUUUGGACAAUGGGCGAAAGCCUGAUCCAGCAAUGCCGCGUGUGUGAAGAAGGCCUUCGGGUUGUAAAGCACUUUUGUCCGGAAAGAAAACCAUGAGGCUAAUACGCCGGGGUGAUGACGGUACCGGAAGAAUAAGCACCGGCUAACUUCGUG
rnacentral:rRNA from 1 species